UCGACACCUACCCGCAAUUAACAGAUGU
rnacentral:sRNA from 1 species